CGGGCCGUGAACUCCCAGAUGGCGUCGGGGUCGAGCAGGGCCUGGUCGCCGAGGUAGGCGCCGUCGGCGAGGACCCCGAGGCUCUCGUCGCUGCCGUACGGGCCGGUGCCGAUCUUCUCCACCCUGCCGUGCGCCAGCAGAUAGACCUCGUCCGCCUGGUUGCCGAAGUCGGCGAUCACCUCACCCGCGGCGAUCUCGCGCUGCUCGCAGCGCUGGGCCAGUUCGGCCAGAACCUCCUCGUCCUCGUACGACCGCAGAGCCGGCAGCUCGCCCAGCUCCGCGGGGAUGACCUCGACCCGGUCGCCGGUCUUCACGAAGGUGAUGCGUCCGUCGCCCACCGCGUAACUGAGCCGCCGGUUCACGCGGUACGUGCCGCCCUGGACGUCCGUCCACGGCAGCAUGCGCAGCAGCCAGCGUGAGCUGAUCUCCUGCAUCUGGGGUACGGACUUGGUCGUGGUGGCCAGGUUCCGCGCGGCCGCCGUGCCGAGGCUCUGCUGCGGCUUGG
rnacentral:antisense_RNA from 1 species